ACUAUGGCUUUUAACUUUCUCUUGAAGAUGUGAGGUCCAUCAAAAUCUUUUAUUUUUUCAUAGAAGAAUCUUGAGAUUCUUUAAGGUCUGGUUGUUGUGCUGAUGGUGAAUCACCAAACGUAGCAUAAAAAUUGGCAUUGGAUAGAAGCCAAAUACUUGGGAUCAAGUGUUGCAGAACGCAAUCUCAAAAUUUCAGAUUAUUUUGCUGACGUUGACUAUGGAGAUGAUCAAUUAGACAACAUCAAAGUCAUAAUCAAAAGGAAAGCUGUCAAUGAAAUCCGGGUUUCUAUCUUCUAAAAUCUAAUCUCUAUUUAUUCUCAGCCUAUUGUGAUUCUUUGUGAAAUCUAUGCUUGGUAGAUGAUCCUUAUUGUGAUAAUCUUCAAUGAUGCACAUGAUUAGAGAUAACAUAUGAUUUCUUUGACGAAGAAAAAAUGUGCAAAUUGAUUUGCAUAUACAUAUAUGUUGCAUACAUAAAAUUGCAAAAUGUGAAUUUCAAGUUCUUGAAAGAAUAUGAAGCAUAUUAUUUGAAAAGAUAAUAUAUAUGCCUGAAAGCUUAAAUAUUAUUUUGAGAUUGUGACAAAAUGAAAAUAUUUCUCCUUAUAUUAUGGAGUUUCUUGAUAUAGAGCAUGAAUGUCUGAAUCAUGUAAAUUUUAGAUCCAUUUGACUCUUGGUAAAUAAUUGACGAAUUAUUAUUUGUGAAAAAAAAAACUUGUUGGUAUCUUACUUGUAAUGAGUGCAAGAUAAUUCAGAAACCUUUCAAAACAGCAGAAAGAAAAUUCAUACUUUUGAGAUUAAUUUACACAAACAUUUAUGAGAAGGAUUAUUUGUCAUAUAACCGAAAGAGAUAUUUAUCACUUUCAUCGGUGAUUAUUCAAGAUAAGUUUUCAAGAUUGUCAGUAGACAUGAUAUGUGUUAUUUAAAAUCAUCAUAUUUAUACAUGAAAAUUGGUGUACAUAUAUGUUGUGUAAGAAAAAUAUACUUUCGAGUUGGUAUAGUGAUAUGAAUAUAUUAUUGGGAAAAUAACACUCUAUGGCAUUUUGGGUAAAGUAUUUACCCGAAAUGGCCAUAUUUGUUUUUCCUUACAUUUUUAAGUCUUCAUCCCAUUUUAAAAAAAAAAAGCUAUUACCCGAGAUAGCCACCCCCCCCCCCCUUCCCCCCCAUAUCAAACUCCAAGAUGCUAAUUUUUUCCUUCCAAAUCUCUUUCUAAUGUUGGUGUUUUUUUAAGGGUAAAGUGUGUAUAAAACACAUACACUAUGUUACACUUUUAACACUAUAUAAACACUGUAUAAACACUGUAUAACACUGCAUAACACUGUAGAAGUGUGUAUAAACACCUCUUAUACGUUAUUAUACAUUUUUGUACAAGGUUUAUACAUUGCCUUCAAUAGGUGUAUAAAGUUGUACAUUGUUGUAUAAUGCUGUAUAUACAAGCUGCGGCCAUAAUUUGUUGGAUCAUAGGUUUGUAAUUUAAAAAUAUGGCUAUCCAAAUGUAAUUUUGUGUGCUAAAUUGUACAUUACUGAAAUUUCCCUUAUAUUAUUUGUAAAGAUUAUCAAUACUUGAAAGUCAGAAUAUUAUUUUGAGAUCAAGAGGAAAUAAUAUUGAUUCCAUUAUAAGUUGAAGGCUUUUCAUGAAUUUGGUGCAUUAUACUCAGCAACAAUAUGAUUUUUGAGUUCCAGACGAUGAGAAAGCUCUUGGAAUAUUGAAAGUAUGAGGUAUUUGACUAUAUUUCAAAAGCCAAUAGUAUACUGGAUUUUCCAAUAUAAUUUUGUUGAGUUUAACGACAUAAAUUUUACUAUGUCAGCCCCUAAAAGAAAAAGAAAAAAAAAUCUUUGGUGGAUACGUUGAACUAUUCCAGUAUUGAUUACGACUAGUUGAUGGAAUACAAAUUUAUAGUUAUACCUUCUACUUGAGAGGAGAUUAUCUGGAUUAGAAGUAUUAUGGUAAGUAUUCCGAUAUGGAGUAAGUCGGUGCCAUCUUUUAUGACUAUCUAUUGUGAUGAUAAAACUGCUAUAUUUUAGUCUUCAAGGGAUUGUUACAACAGCAGGUCGAGACGAGUUCAUCUCACACACAAUCACAUGAGAAAAUUAUUAGAGGAUGGUAUAGCUUCCCUUUAAUAUCUCAAGUCCUGGUUCAAUUUAGCAGAUUUUUCGUCUAAAAUUUAGACAAAUAAUUGGUGCUGAAAAUCUAUAAAGGAAUGGGAAUAAAGCCUGUUGAAAAUUAAUUGUACUUUAUGGGAGCCCUACCUACUAAUGCAAUCUUAGGUUCAAAGGGAAAAAUAAGUAAAGUUACAAUAGUGGAGCACAUCAAUGAAAUUCCCAAAUCCUAAAAGACUGAGUAGAUGUGCAUAGGUUGAGAUUCUUUUCUCUUAAUAAAUCUAUAAGACCGAUCUCAGUUGGAGUUAGUAAGAACACUCUUGAUAGAAUUACUGAUAUUCCUACUAAAGAGGAGGAUGGGAUUAUAUUCUCUUAAUAAGUCUAUAAACUAGUUUCGGUUGGAGUAUGUAGGAACGCUCUUGAUAGAUUUACAGACACUUUGCUGUAAAGGAGGAUGAGAUUAAAUUCUCUUAAUGAAUUCAUUGACUAUUUGGUCGGAGUAUGCAAAGUUACUCUUGAUGAAUUCACCGCGCUAAGUGCGAAGUGGAGGCCGCUUCAAUACGAUUUUAGCAGGAAAAUCUUAAAGCACUUACAUAAAAGGAUUCAGGACACAUGGCUAUAAGGUGUCCAAGAAUAUUGAUUUUCACCAGAACAUAGUAAUGUGCGUGAAAAAUUUUCUACUUCAUUCAAUGAACUUCUUAGUUCAAGAUUCAUUCACUACGUAGCAAUGAUUUAGAAAGUCUUCACUAGCUAAUGAUUCAAGUCCAAAAGACACCAUUAUUGAUGCAUGUUACUAGAUUAAUGUCUCAUAAAUUUUCAAAAAUUUCUUGAAACAAGGGUUUCAAUAAAUUUUAUAACGUAUUUGAUAAAAGUAUUUAUUUCUUAAUGUAAAUGAAUAUGAAAUGAAUUUGAUGAAUUCAUAAGUUUCAUCUUCAUUAAGUUAAUACGUUUUAGUUUUUUUGGACAAGUACAUCUUGAUUUCAAGAAUUCAUGAAUGUAUUCAUUGUCUUCUUUUGAUGAAAGAACUUAUUUUCAAAGAAUUAGUUAGCCUAUAAAUAGUGCUUAUUUUCUUUGGAAAUAAAAGCAAUCCAAAAACACUUUCCCUUGAAUUUGAGAGACGUUGAUCAUAAGGUGAAAUCACAGAUUCAAGAAUAGAAGAGAAACGUUCUUGAAUGCUAUUUGUUGUGUGGCUUAGUUGAAUCCCGAAGAUAGAGUUGUCGUUUAGGAGCCGUUUGAACAUGAUUUCAUCUCAUGAGAUGAAAUCGUGAGAUGAAAUCAUGUUUGGACAUGCAAUUUGGAUAUCUUAAGUUGUAGUUUUUUUUUUUUUUUUUUUUUUUUUUUUUUAUAAACAUAAAACCCCCACAAGUUGUGAAAACCAUAAAAAAUUUUCCAAUUCUUAUACAAUCUUACCAAAUGAGUAAAUCAUAGUUCAUAAUAAAAUUAAUAGCUACUAGAAGGCCUUUCUAAAAAAUACAACAUCAAUUGAUCAAAUUUUAGUUCAAUAAAAAGGAAAAUUUAACAUGAAUAGUAAUGUAAUUACUCUUUAAUAUAAUCCCCCCACAUGGUAAACAUGAUUGAUAAAUAUAUUUUAUCAACUUGCAGACUAAUAUUUAAUACAAAUGGUUGGUAAACAUAAUUGAUAAAUAUAUCUACCAACUUAUGAGUCUUUUUUUACAAAAUAUAAACGUAUGAGUCAAAUUUUACAUUUAUAUUUUUUGAAAUCAUGAUUUCAAAUCCCAAAUCAUGUCUUUUUGGAUGAUUUGGGAUUUCAUCUCAUGAGAUGAAAUUGCAUGUCCAAAUGCCUACUUAUUCUUUCGUUUGCUCGUGGGAGAGACUCCAACUAUCUUCAAAAAAUGUCUUGACGUACCUCGAAGCCAAGCAAGUUCUAUUUUGGGUCUUAAUAUUAUUAUUAUAUGUAUUCUAACAAUUUAAUGUUAUUUCAAUUCGAGCAAUUGGAAGAUAAUAGUAUCCUUGUUCUAACACUUUCUUCAAAUAGUUGUGCUUACUCCUUCUCCUUGCCACUACUUUCUUCUAUUGAUUAGUUAUAGUGUUUAUUGAGUAUUUGUGUCAAUCUUAUUACAUACAUUAGCAUCAAUCUAAAUGCAUUCACUUAAAAGGAUUACAUCAACUACAAUUAAAGAACUAAUAUAUAUAUGUAUCCACCAGAAAGAUGAUGCUUAUAUUGAAGUGAUUUACUAAACAUAAUAUUAAAUAUUCUAGCCAAUUUAUAGCCUCGUAAAUCUGUAUAUCCAGCGUGUAUUAUCUAAAGUGGUAUGCUCGAUAUAUUUUACAAAAUUUUACGUACUUUUCCUUCCAGAACAUUAUUGAUAGCCAUUAAGAAUUUAAAAAUAAUAAUUAAGGUCUAAGAAUGACAAGUUGAGUUGAUGUUCCAUUUAUUUAUUUUUUUAAAAAAGGCACGGGUUUGGGACGGGUCAUUAAAUCUCGGGUCGUCAUAUUUAGGCCCAUAAAAGAUGUAAGGGGUCCAAACAUUUUUUUUUUGUGAGGAUUGUCCUUCAAAAGCACUGGUAAUUAAUUUUUGGCCCUCAAAUUGGUGGUCUAUAAUGUUUUACCUUCGUCUAUUACCCCAAGGUUCUGGGUUCAAACCCCAGCUCAGUCAAAAAACAAAAUGGAAUUUCGCAAGACAGAGGUUUAGAAAACUCUGCCUUGCAUUUUUUUUUAAUUGAGCCGGAGUUCGAACCCCAAACCUUAUGGUAUUAGGCGAAGGCCAAAAAUUAAAGACCACUAGUUUGAGGGACAAAAAUUAAAGACCAGUGCCUUUGAAGGGUAAUCGUGCGAAUGAUCAGGGUCGAAAUAGGUAAAAUUUAGGCCCAAACUGACCAAUUAAUAAGUUAAAGUACUGCCACCUUUUGAAUCCAGUUUUCACCCCGAUUAUUCGUUAUCAAUUUAGUAACUUAGUUUCCUAUGAAUUUCCCUAUAAACAAAAUCUACAUAUAUUAAAAGUACGAAGGGCCUUAGAAAUGUUGACGAAACUUUUUACCCUUCAUUAAAAGUCUCCCAAUAGACAAAUUAGUCAUUUACUAUUUUUUUUUAAAUUACUAUUUAAUUAUAUCAUAUAUGUCCUAAUACAAUGUGCAAACUCUUUUUGACGGCAAUUACAUGCCUCUAGGUAUUAGUGUUUUAUUGGAUACCAUUUUUUCCUUAUUUAAAGUAAGUGGGAGUCCUAAUUGCACGUAGGUUGUACCUUUAAUUUAAUAACCUUUUAUUUUUUCCUCCUAUUCAUUAAUUUUCCUUAUAUUCAUUAAUAGGUUUAAGUUUUAUACAUACAACAAAAUUAAUUGCUUUUCAUGCAAGUCAAGCUGGUCUCCAAUUCCUACUCAGUAUUUGAUGAAAUUCAUCGGGAAAAAAUAAAUUCCCGAUAAUAGAAAGUCUUCCACAUCAAGAAAUCAAUGCUCUUAAUUUUUUUUUAACCCAGCUGCAAAAUCAAUCGCAAGCAAGUAAAGGAAAACGUGAAGAUAAUUGAACAGAAAUUAAAACCCAGGAGCUCAUGGUUACUGCCGAAUUGGUAGAAUUUCAAAGUUUUGGUUUAGCUUUAAAAAUUGUAAGUUCAGUAUCAUGUUUAAUUUUACUAUGUUCCUAUUGAAUUGAGAAAUUUUUGUUUUAACUUUUGUUUUAUAUAUUGUAAGUUUCUCCGAAACUGUAGUAGAUGUUAUUUGGUUAUCCUGACAAAAUUUUGGUGCUUAUAUUUGUUCUAUUGUCGCGACCGAUAUAACCAUAUAUUUUGUCAAUCUAUUGUAAUUAGAGCUAGGAGGAAUUUUUGGAGGUUAAGGAUGAGUAGAUGACGAUGAAUCAGUAAGUCCAUCGUGUGACUCUUGUAUCAGAGGUAGAUAAAAGCUUCAACAGACAUGGAGGUGGAUCAAUGUGAAAUCAUACUGCUUUAACUUUUAACAGGAGCAAAUUUUGCAGUAGCUCGCUCAAGUUCAUCUUACAUUAGCAUGUUCAAGAAGUGCAAUCUAAAACUUAGAAUAAAAUGGUGUGAAGAUGAAGAAAUUUGGAGCAAAUCAAAGGAAACACGUGAAGUUGCGAGAAGGAAUAGAGGCGUGAUGAACUAAUGAUUAAUACUCAUGAUCUAAUGGUUGGAUGAAGAAAAUAUUUUAAAGGUAACAAGUGCAAAUUGAUUUGAAUUGAAGCAAGCAGCUUAAAGAAGUGCACUACGAGUUGUCUACGUGGCAGAAGUGCAAAAAAGGAACAAUUGAACUAUUGAAGUAUGCUAACAUAUGGGAAUUUAAAUAAGGGGAAAGAUUGCAUGAUUUUGUGACAAUUAACGCUUGUGUAUGUGGCAAAGGAGGGAGUAAUGCAAUUGAAGUUUAACUGCAAAGGGGAUUGGAAAUAUACCUGGACAGUUGGCGAUGCGGUGAGAUCGCAAGGAAAACACGCCUUUGAAACUUUUCCUGCCUGCGGCGCACUUUUCCUGGUCCUAUUUGAAUUUGGUUUUUAAAAGACCGGGCCUUUUGAUACCCUAUAAAUAUAUUUUACAUGGUUUUUACAUAACUUUGGAUAACUUGAAACCCUUAGUUAAUAACUUUGAACUUAGAGAGAGCUUGGAGUCGCUGUGGACGCAGUAUUACAGGGUUUUACCUUCUUUUCUCUGUAGUACUAGUUUUUACGUUUUUAUUCGGAUGAUUUGUUGUUUUUCGUCCAUGUCUAUGUUGAGCUAGACAUUAUAGUUCUAGGGUUUUGAUACAAACAUGAAAGUUGUGGUUUGAUUAUCGUUUCUAUCUAUUGAUUUUUCAUCUU